GAUGAACGCUGGCGGCGUGCCUAAUACAUGCAAGUCGAGCGAACAGAUGAGGAGCUUGCUCCUCUGACGUUAGCGGCGGACGGGUGAGUAACACGUGGAUAACCUACCUAUAAGACUGGGAUAACUUCGGGAAACCGGAGCUAAUACCGGAUAAUAUAUUGAACCGCAUGGUUCAAUAGAGAAAGACGGUUUUGCUGUCACUAAUAGAUGGAUCCGCGCCGCAUUAGCUAGUUGGUAAGGUAACGGCUUACCAAGGCAACGAUGCGUAGCCGACCUGAGAGGGUGAUCGGCCACACUGGAACUGAGACACGGUCCAGACUCCUACGGGAGGCAGCAGUAGGGAAUCUUCCGCAAUGGGCGAAAGCCUGACGGAGCAACGCCGCGUGAGUGAUGAAGGUCUUCGGAUCGUAAAACUCUGUUAUUAGGGAAGAACAAAUGUGUAAGUAACUAUGCACGUCUUGACGGUACCUAAACAGAAAGCCACGGCUAACUACGUG
rnacentral:rRNA from 1 species